rnacentral:rRNA from 1 species
GAUGAACGCUAGCGGGAGGCCUAACACAUGCAAGUCGAACGGGAUUGGUAGCAAUACCAUGAGAGUGGCGCACGGGUGAGUAACGCGUAUGCAACCUGCCUUUAACUGAGGGAUAGCCCAUAGAAAUGUGGAUUAAUACCUCAUAGUUCUUUUGUUCCGCAUGGGAUGAAAGAUAAAGCUCCGGCGGUUAAAGAUGGGCAUGCGUGACAUUAGCUAGUUGGUAAGGUAACGGCUUACCAAGGCUACGAUGUCUAGGGGUUCUGAGAGGAUGAUCCCCCACACUGGUACUGAGACACGGACCAGACUCCUACGGGAGGCAGCAGUGAGGAAUAUUGGUCAAUGGGCGCAAGCCUGAACCAGCCAUCCCGCGUGCAGGAUGACGGCCCUAUGGGUUGUAAACUGCUUUUGUACAGGAAGAAAAAUCCCUACGUGUAGGGACCUGCCGGUACUGUACGAAUAAGCAUCGGCUAACUCCGUGCCAGCCGCCGCCGUAAUAC